UACGGAGGGGGCUAGCGUUGUUCGGAAUUACUGGGCGUAAAGCGCACGUAGGCGGCUUGGUAAGUUAGAGGUGAAAUCCUGGAGCUCAACUCCAGAAUUGCCUUUAAGACUGCCGAGCUAGCAGGUGAGAGAGGUGAGUGGAAUUCCGAGUGUAGAGGUGAAAUUCGUAGAUAUUCGGAAGAACACCAGUGGCGAAGGCGGCUCACUGGCUCAUACUGGACGCUGAGGUGCGAAAGCGUGGGGAGCAAACAGG
rnacentral:rRNA from 1 species